GGCUGUCGUCAGCUCGUGUCGUGAGAUGUUGGGUUAAGUCCCGCAACGAGCGCAACCCCCGUCCUUAGUUGCUACCAUUUAGUUGAGCACUCUAAGGAGACUGCCGGUGAUAAGCCGCGAGGAAGGUGGGGAUGACGUCAAGUCCUCAUGGCCCUUACGGGCUGGGCUACACACGUGCUACAAUGGCGGUGACAAUGGGAAGCAAAGGGGCAACCCCUAGCAAAUCUCAAAAAACCGUCUCAGUUCGGAUUGGGCUCUGCAACCCGAGCCCAUGAAGUUGGAAUCGCUAGUAAUCGUGGAUCAGCAUGCCACGGUGAAUACGUUCCCGGGCCUUGUACACACCGCCCGU
rnacentral:rRNA from 1 species